rnacentral:RNase_P_RNA from 1 species
UCAGCCGGCCGGGCGGCCGCUCCGGGCUCGCGCCCGGGGAGGAAAGUCCGGGCUUCAUGGAGAGACGGUGCCGGAUAACCUCCGGCGGGGGCGACCCCAGGGACAGUGCCACAGAGAGCAGACCGCCCCGCGACAGGCUCAAGCCUCCGCGGGGUCAGGGUGAAAGGGUGCGGUAAGAGCGCACCGCGGACGCGGCAACGCGGACGGCACGGCAAACCCCACCGGAAGCAAGACCGAAUAGGGGCGGCGCGCCCCGCGACGCGGGGCAGGCCGGCUCUCCAGGCCAGUCGCCCGGGUUGGUUGCUCGAGGCGGUCGGCGACGACCGUCCCAGAGGAAUGGCCGCCACGUCCGCGAACGCCUUCGGGCCGAGCGGGCCCUACAGAACCCGGCUUACAGGCCGGCUGAUCCG